rnacentral:tmRNA from 1 species
GGGGCUGCAUUGAUUCGACAAAAAAAUUGUUUUUAUAGAAUGCAAGUAGUAGGCAUACUUUAAAUGCAAAAAUAAAAUAGUCGGAAACGAUUACGAAUUUACACCUGCUUUUGCCUAAUUUAGGUAUGUAGGUCUUCCUCUUUAAUCUUUUGUUCACGAGGUUUUAGUAGGGAGUUAUAAAGUGAACUAUAUUAUAAGUAUGUUUAUGGCUUAUAACGAAUAAUUAAUAAACUUUGAAUAAUAAUAGAAGUUGGCAAUCUACGUUAUUAUUUGAGUAUAAAAACCAACUAAACUUGUAGAUUUUCUUGUAAAACUUAUUUUGGACAGGAGUUCGCUACUCCUCAGCUCCACCA